rnacentral:rRNA from 1 species
GAUGUGGGUGUAAUCUUUAGGAUUGACUUUGAGAAAGCCUAUGACAAAGUUAACUGGGAGUUCUUACUGGAUUGUCAUGUUAAACGUGGGUUUAACUCAAAGUGGUGUGGGUGGGUGUCUCAAAUCCUUAGGAAUGGCACGGUUAGUGUUAAGAUCAAUGAUGAGAUGGGACCUUAUAUCCAGAGCGCUAAGGGGGUGAGGCAAGGUGACCCACAUUCUCCAUUCCUCUUUAAUCUUGCGGCAGAAUGCCUGACUAAGAUGAUCAUUUCUUCCCAGAAAAAUAAUCUCAUUAAGGGGCUAGCCUCUGGGCUGAUAGAAGGAGGGGUAGGCAUCCUUCAAUAG